rnacentral:tRNA from 2 species
CGGGGUGUGGCGCAGCUUGGUAGCGCGUUCGCUUUGGGAGCGAGAAGUCGCAGGUUCAAAUCCUGUCACCCCGA